rnacentral:rRNA from 1 species
CAGCAGCCACGGGAAUACGGAGGAUCCAAGCGUUAUCCGGAAUCAUUGGGUUUAAAGGGUCCGUAGGCGGUCUUGUAAGUCAGUGGUGAAAGCCCAUCGCUCAACGGUGGAACGGCCAUUGAUACUGCAGGACUUGAAUUAUUGGGAAGUAACUAGAAUAUGUAGUGUAGCGGUGAAAUGCUUAGAGAUUACAUGGAAUACCAAUUGCGAAGGCAGGUUACUACCAAUUGAUUGACGCUGAUGGACGAAAGCGUGGGUAGCGAACAGGAUUAGAUACCCCGGUAGUCCCUGUCUCUUAUAU